CAGUCGCCGCGGUAAUACGAAGGGGGCUAGCGUUGUUCGGAAUUACUGGGCGUAAAGCGCACGCAGGCGGCUCGAUAAAUUAGAAGUGAAAGCCUUGGGCUUAACCUGAGAAUUGCUUUUAAGACUGUCGAGCUAGAAUCCAGAAGAGGGUAGUGGAAUUCCGAGUGUAGAGGUGAAAUUCGUAGAUAUUCGGAAGAACACCAGUGGCGAAGGCGACUACCUGGUCUGGCAUUGACGCUCAUGUGCGAAAGCGUGGGGAGCAAACAGGAUUAGAGACCCCUGUAGUCCCUGUCUCUUAUAC
rnacentral:rRNA from 1 species